rnacentral:rRNA from 1 species
AUGGAUGGCUGUGGUUGGAACACGGGGCCACCCAAUCGCUCCUGCCAUCAUCUCCCCCGUCUGCACCACUCAAAACCACACCCCCUUCCAUCCUCCCUCUGCGCCAGCCUCCCUCCCUUCCUCGCCCAGCCGGCCAUGGAAGCUCUGGCCGUCGCCUCGCCGGCCGCGGCACGGCCGCAGCCCCGUCGACGACGCCUCGCCGCAGGUUCAUCGUGCCAGGGGAGGACGAGCCAGCUGCACACCUCCUUCAGCGGCAUCACCGUGCAGCGCCGGCCACAGAAGCCGCUGCCACACCGGCGAUCAUCGACGGUGGUGGCGAUGGCGACGACGUCGCGGCCGUCGAUCCAGUUCAUCCAGGGCACGGACGAGCAGACGAUCCCGGACGUGCGGCUGACCAAGUCCCGGGACGGCAGCAACGGGGUGGCCAUCUUCACCUUCGAGCAGCCGUCGGUGUUCGACUCGUCGGCGGAGCUGGGCGACAUCACGGGGUUCUACAUGAUCGACGAGGAGGGGACGCUGAGCUCCGUGGACGUCAGCGCCAAGUUCGUCAACGGCAAGCCGGCGGCCGUGGAGGCCAAGUACGUGAUGCGCACCCCCAGGGACUGGGACCGCUUCAUGCGCUUCAUGGAGCGCUACUCCCAGGCCAACGGCCUCCAGUUCCUCAAGAAGUAG